rnacentral:rRNA from 1 species
AUUGAACGCUGGCGGAAUGCUUUACACAUGCAAGUCGAGCGGCAGCGCGGGGGCAACCCUGGCGGCGAGCGGCGAACGGGUGAGUAAUACAUCGGAACGUGUCCUUAAGUGGGGGAUAGCUCGGCGAAAGCCGGAUUAAUACCGCAUAAGCUCUGAGGAGGAAAGCGGGGGCUCCGUAAGGACCUCGCGCUGUUGGAGCGGCCGAUGUCGGAUUAGCUAGUUGGUGGGGUAAAGGCCCACCAAGGCGACGAUCCGUAGCUGGUCUGAGAGGAUGAUCAGCCACACUGGAACUGAGACACGGUCCAGACUCCUACGGGAGGCAGCAGUGGGGAAUUUUGGACAAUGGGGGCAACCCCGAUCCAGCCAUUCCGCGUGAGUGAAGAAGGCCU